GUUGUUCAUUAUUCUUUCAAGAGCCAGAUGAUGUAUUUUUAUAAUAAGAAAGAAUCAGAAAGGAGGCAGUUCUGAGGAAGCCCUUACUGGUAAGGCCAGGCUCUGCACUCCCACUCCAGGGACUGCUGGAUCUGCAUUGCCAUUCUAGGACUUGGGUUUCUCAUUUCCUGGAUGACCGCCACAGAUUGCAGAAAUGGAAAUCUGCCUUUGAACUAAAGAAGAGGGGAUAAAUGUCAAACUCACAGAGAGAGACAGCUAUUUCACUGCAGAAAUAAUUAGAUGGACCUUUCUUGACUUCUAGACUACAGAGUAAAAUACUUCUUCCAGGCUAAAUAAAAAGGAAUUCAUGAAAAUGUGAAUACUCUGAAAUUUAACAAAAAGUCUGGUUGAUAAGAAGAGGUUACCAACACUACUUACAUUUAGCACAGAGAGGCAUAUUCAAGGGUAGGACCUACUGAAGCAGGAAUGAGGUAACCCGGUGCUGGAGCUGUUGGGGAUCAUCUUUUGUAAACUGCUCUCCUUGGGGCUGAGGAACAGCACUCCUGUCUCACCUCUGCUUGAAGGACUCCAGGGUCUCAGCAGUGCAACUAUUGUUGAGAAAACAUCCAAAACCUUUUAGAAAACAUGAAGCAGGGCAGCCCCUUUCCUAGAGUGAUUUCUUCCCUUGCUGUCAGACCAGACCUCCUCUAGGGGAUAGCUAUUAAUGGAAGAAGUCCCAAAGACAAGCGCUCGUUGACCAAAAGCAGGCUAAUUCGCAAAGAUCAAUGGUCCAACAGCAUUCAUCUAUCAUCUCGGACAUGCGUGCAC